rnacentral:rRNA from 1 species
AAGUGUUUAAAGUCAGGCAUUAUUGCUCGAAUACAUUAGCAUGGAAUAAUAGAAUAGGACGGCUAUGGUUCUAUUUUGUUUGGUUUCUUAGGAUCACCGUAAUGAUUAAUUAGGGAUAUUGGGGGCAUUAGUAUUCAAUUGUCAGAGGUGAAAUUCUUGGAUUUAUUGAAGACUAACUACUGCGAAAGCAUUUGCCAAGGAUGUUUUCAUUAAUCAAGAACGAAAGUUAGGGGAUCGAAGACGAUCAGAUACCGUCGUAGUCUUAACCAUAAACUAUGCCGACUAGGAAUCAGACGAUGUUAAUUUUUUAAUGACUCGUUUGGCACCUUACG